rnacentral:rRNA from 1 species
UGGGGCGAGAGUAGUACUAGGAUGGGUGACCCCCUGGGAAGUCCUCGUGUUGCAUCCCU